GAUGAACGCUAGCGAUAGGCUUAACACAUGCAAGUCGAGGGGCAGCAUGGUCUUAGCUUGCUAAGACUGAUGGCGACCGGCGCACGGGUGCGUAACGCGUAUGCAACUUGCCUCACAGAGGGGGAUAACCCGUCGAAAGACGGACUAAUACCGCGUACACUUGGGAUAGGGCAUCCUGACCCAAGGAAAUGAAAUUCGCUGUGAGAUAGGCAUGCGUCCCAUUAGCUAGUUGGUGAGGUAACGGCUCACCAAGGCGACGAUGGGUAGGGGAACUGAGAGGUUGAACCCCCACACUGGUACUGAGACACGGACCAGACUCCUACGGGAGGCAGCAGUGAGGAAUAUUGGUCAAUGGGCGAGGGCCUGAACCAGCCAAGUCGCGUGAAGGAUGACUGUCUUAUGGAUUGUAAACUUCUUUUAUACGGGAAUAACAAGAGCCACGUGUGGCUCCCUGCAUGUACCGUAUGAAUAAGCAUCGGCUAACUCCGUG
rnacentral:rRNA from 1 species